AUGGUGUUCGUCUUUCAGAACAAGGGUCGUUUCACGACCCCUCGAGCGCGUUUGAUCCCUCAUACAGAUAACAGGGAUUUCCCCAGACGGGGACGAUUUAUGAGGGACGAUUAUUUUGUCGAGCGAUCUCGUGACUUCCCAUACGAGGUCAUCAGACACGAGGAAUCACUCACGGGUUACAGUAACAGAGUACAGAAUGAAACUCGAUCGGAGAAUAGUGUAAAUCCUUUCCGUCGUCGGUCACGUGAUCGACGCCCUUUAAAUCGGGGAUUUAAACCCAAACAAAAGAGAGUGACUUUUGGGGAAAAUAGGAUUAUUUACCCCACUGAAGAGAACAGAUUUACUGACCAGAGAUACAGAAACACACAAUAUUCUCCUCGUAAUGUAGAAAAGAACAGGAGACGUGAGAAUGGCCAGUUUGCACAAAAAUAUAUUCACCAGAAAAAAAGAAUGGGCCAAAAAACUCACUUUGAUUCACAGAAAAAAUCAGAAUACUCUCCUGCUUCUCCCACUUUUCGGAGAAUUAUUAAGAAUAUGUAUCAUCUGAUCAGAUCUGUCCAUCACCUCAGUAAUAUUGACACACGGAUAGAAGAUAACCAGCCUGUCACUCUUAAAAGGUUGACGGAGCUUCUGAAAAGUGUGAUCAAACCCUUUGCCCCCACAAUGUCCACAAAAGAAUUGCUGGAGGGUAAUGCAAAGAACUGGGCGUUUACGACACAGUUGGUGUUACAGCAACACUAUGAGGAUAUCAUAGAGCACACACUGGGGAUCUUACGGGGAGAGACACAGAGAAAAGACUGGUUACACGCUUUUGAGAUCGCUGUCAAAUGGGCGAUGCGAAAUUUUGGCAAAAGGAUCUCCCAGAGGGCAAUUCAGCAGGCCGAAACUUUGGUCCUGACCGAAUUGCGUUCUGGGACUCCAUCCGGGUCUAAAGUACCAUCGAAUUCUGAAACCAGUAGCAACAGAACAUUUGCUCAGGUGGUUAGUGGUGUAGAUCUAGCCUCGGCUCAGCAGGGGACAGAAACGGUCAACACAGGGGUUGUUAGACCUAAGACAGGGGUCACACACAUCCAGAUACAAACAUCGCCCACUUUAAUGUCAGGCUGGUCUCCUAUGAGGAACGACUGGCUUCUGGGAGAUGAUUUUCCACCUCUGAACCCUCCUGUACAGGCCCCUAUACAGUCUCCUAAGGGGAAAAGAACAGAAAAGAAAAAACACCUGACAGAACAGAGACCAAAAACUCCACCAGCCUUUACAGAACAAGCUGAGAAAAAUCUCUUAGUGAGUUUUGACGAUGAUGAUGAGGAGGAGGAGGAUCAGUUAACUCCUGCACAGGGAGACAGACUGGAUGAUUUAGAUGAGAUUACGGGUCCUCUGUCACAGGAACUUUUCUCUCCUUUUGCCCCCUCUGAGGCUGAGGCCCCGAUAACCACAGGCCAGCCUUCUCUGGUCCCCAUUGUAGCCAGUACAGUACAUACAGUAAAUACUCUAAUGGACACAGCUGAGAGUGCCCAGAUCUUCCAAAAUCCGUCAGGGUCACCAAAUCUCUCAGACUUUGAUUUCUCAGAAUAUUCUGUGACUGAAUGGCCAGUUUGCACAAAAAUAUAUUCACCAGAAAAAAAGAAUGGGCCAAAAAACUCACUUUGA
ensembl:lncRNA